AUUGAACGCUGGCGGCAGGCCUAACACAUGCAAGUCGAGCGGAUGAAGGGAGCUUGCUCCUGGAUUCAGCGGCGGACGGGUGAGUAAUGCCUAGGAAUCUGCCUGGUAGUGGGGGAUAACGUCCGGAAACGGGCGCUAAUACCGCAUACGUCCUGAGGGAGAAAGUGGGGGAUCUUCGGACCUCACGCUAUCAGAUGAGCCUAGGUCGGAUUAGCUAGUUGGUGGGGUAAAGGCCUACCAAGGCGACGAUCCGUAACUGGUCUGAGAGGAUGAUCAGUCACACUGGAACUGAGACACGGUCCAGACUCCUACGGGAGGCAGCAGGGGGGAAUAUUGGACAAUGGGCGAAAGCCUGAUCCAGCCAUGCCGCGUGUGUGAAGAAGGUCUUCGGAUUGUAAAGCAUUUUAAGUUGAGAGGAAGGGCAGUAAGUUAAGACCUUGCUGUUUUGACGUUACCAACAGAAUAAGCACCGGCGAACUUCGU
rnacentral:rRNA from 1 species